AGUGAACGCUGGCGGUAGGCCUAACACAUGCAAGUCGAACGGCAGCACAGGAGAGCUUGCUCUCUGGGUGGCGAGUGGCGGACGGGUGAGGAAUACAUCGGAAUCUACUCUGUCGUGGGGGAUAACGUAGGGAAAAUUACGCUAAUACCGCAUACGACCUACGGGUGAAAGCAGGGGACCUUCGGGCGCUGCGCGAUUGAAUGAGGCGGGUUCGUAUUAGAUAGUUGGCGGGGUAAAGGCCCACCAAGGCGACGAUCCGUAGCAGGUCUGAGAGGAUGAUCAGCCACACUGGAACUGAGACACGGUCCAGACUCCUACGGGAGGCAGCAGUGGGGAAUAUUGGACAAUGGGUGCAAGCCUGAUCCAGCCAUACCGCGUGGGUGAAGAAGGCCUUCGGGUUGUAAAGCCCUUUUGUUGGGAAAGAAAUCCAGCUGGCUAAUACCCGGUUGGGAUGACGGUACCCAAAGAAUAAGCACCGGCUAACUUCGUGCCAGCCGCCGCAGUAA
rnacentral:rRNA from 1 species